GGGGCUGCAUUGAUUCGACAGAAUUAUAUUUGGAUAGAAUGCAAGUAGUAGGCAUACUUAAAAUGCAAAAAUCAAAAUAACUGGAAACGAUUAUAGUUUCUCUCCAGCUUUUGCUUAAUUUAGUAUAAAGUGGAGCAUCCUCUUAAACUUUUGUUCACGAGUUUAAAGUAGGGUGUCAUAAAGUGAACUAUAUUAUAAAUAUGUUUGUGAUUUAUAAUGAAUGUUUAGCAAACUUUGAAUAAUAAGAGAAGUUGGCAAUCUACAUUAUUAUUUGAGUAUAAAAACCAACUAAACUUGUAGAAAUUCUAUUGGAAUGAAUUUUGGACAGGAGUUCGUUACUCCUCAGCUCCACCA
rnacentral:tmRNA from 1 species